ACGGGGGGUGCAAGCGUUGUUCGGAAUCAUUGGGCGUAAAGGGCGCGUAGGCGGCUAGAUAAGUCAGAUGUGAAAUCCCUGGGCUUAACUCAGGAAGGGCAUUGGAAACUGUUUGGCUUGAGUAGGGGAGAGGAGAGUGGAAUUCCUGGUGUAGAGGUGAAAUGCGUAGAUAUCAGGAGGAACACCAGUGGCGAAGGCGACUUUCUGGCCCUAUACUGACGCUGAGGCGCGAAAGCGAGGGUAGCAAACAG
rnacentral:rRNA from 1 species